UACGUAAGUGGCGAGCGUUAUCCGGAAUUACUGGGCGUAAAGCGUGCGUAGGCGGUUUAGUGUGUGGGAAUUGAAAGCCCGGGGCUCAACUCCGGAUCCGGUUCCCAAACUGCUAGACUCGAGCGUAUCAGAGGACAGUGGAAUUCCCGGUGUAGCGGUAAUAUGCGUAGAUAUCGGGAGGAACACCAGUGGCGAAGGCGACUGUCUGGGGUAUUGCUGACGCUGAGGAGCGAAAGCCAGGGGAGCAAACGGG
rnacentral:rRNA from 1 species